rnacentral:rRNA from 1 species
AUUGAACGCUGGCGGCAUGCCUUACACAUGCAAGUCGAACGGUAACGGGCCUUCGGGUGCCGACGAGUGGCGAACGGGUGAGUAAUACAUCGGAACGUGCCCGAUCGUGGGGGAUAACGAGGCGAAAGCUUUGCUAAUACCGCAUACGAUCUACGGAUGAAAGCAGGGGACCGCAAGGCCUUGCGCGGACGGAGCGGCCGAUGGCAGAUUAGGUCGUUGGUGGGAUAAAAGCUUACCAAGCCGACGAUCUGUAGCUGGUCUGAGAGGAUGAUCAGCCACACUGGGACUGAGACACGGCCCAGACUCCUACGGGAGGCAGCAGUGGGGAAUUUUGGACAAUGGGCGCAAGCCUGAUCCAGCCAUGCCGCGUGCAGGAUGAAGGCCUUCGGGUUGUAAACUGCUUUUGUACGGAACGAAAAGCCUUCUUUUAAUACAGGAGGGUCAUGACGGUACCGUAAGAAUAAGCACCGGCUAACUACGUG